CCCCUGGUGGUCCAGUGGUUAGGACUCCGCACUCCCACUGCUGAGGGCCCAGUUUCCAUCCCUGACCAGGGCG
rnacentral:tRNA from 1 species